rnacentral:misc_RNA from 1 species
GAUGAAGAACGUAGCGAAAUGCGAUACUUGGUGUGAAUUGCAGAAUCCCGUGAACCAUCGAGUCUUUGAAUGCAAGUUGCGCCUCAAGCCAUUAGGUUGAGGGCACGUCUGCCUGGGCGUCACAUAUCGUUGCCUGAUGCCAGUUUCCUCGUGAUGGGUGACUGUGCAGGGCGAAUGAUGGCUUCCCGUGAGCAUUGUUGCCUCAUGGUUGGUUGAAAAUUGAGUCCUUGGUAGGGAGCGCCGUGAUAGAUGGUGGUUGAGUGACGAACGAGACCCAAUCAUGUGAGACCCCUACCGAAUUUGGCCUUCAUGACCCACAUGCGUCUUUGGAACGCUCAUGACGAGACCUCAGGUCAGGCGGGGCUACCCGCUGAGUUUAAGCAUAUCAAUAAGCGGAGGA